UCGCAGCCAUACGGGCUGUGCUCCCCCAGCUGAACUGUAUCUGCAUUUUAACGGUGGGAAGAAGAGACGCUAUAUGGCGAUUUGCUCCUCCCUCCGCCCUGCCAACCUCAUCUGUCAGCCAUUAGUUAAUCAGGGCUGGUAAUGCAGAGCGCACAGAGAGCUGGCACCGCUCGUGGGACCAGAGGACAGCUUCACCUCUGAGAGCAAAGAGAGGGCAAGGACUCAGGGACCUCUGCUGCACUGAGCUACAGCUGGGCGGCUUCAAUCACCAGCACCCACUCAGGCGGUAGCUUCACGAUGACCACACCCACUUCUUUGCUGUGAACAGGGAGGUUUCACAGACAGAAGUCAAAACAACACAUGUUGUCAACAUGGGAGCAGCUGGUAAGAACGGCGUCAUGGGGCAGAGGAAUGUCAAGAGUCAUAGAUCUUUUAUCCAUCAGGCUGAAAUAACCACCCAGUAACCAGGCACAGUAAGAGCAACGUGAAAUCUGAAUAUUUAUAUAUUUAACUUCUCUAAUGUUAAUCUUAACCAGCUAACUUAAUCCAUAUUCAAUAGAUAAUAGAAAUCACACAAGAAAUAUUUUAAAUUCAGUGAUGUGCAAAAUAGAAGUGCAGUUGUAAUAGUGGCGUAUACUCCAGUGAUUGAUUUCAGAUGUGACAAGUUGGUUUUGCUGUAUUAUUCACUGCAGGAUGGGACUGAUUGUAAGAUGUGGAAAUAAUUUCCUGUCUCUGUCACUUCAGUUCCUGACAGACAGUCAGCUGCAGCUCACUUCUGAUUGGCUACAACUACACAGUGUAUUCUGCUCUCCAUGCCAGAGUAUAACUUUGCCAUCUUUAAAGAGUUAAAUAAACACAGGGUUCAGUGGGCAUAUACAGUUUCCUCGACAGGGUUUCCUUUUUAAGUCAACACCACUCAGUAAGGAUACACCGAGCAACCAUAAGUCAAAACCGAAUGACAAAACAGCCACGUUUUUUUUCCGUCUGUGUAAACAUUCCUCUGAGGGCUUUUUCCAUUACUGUGUUAACCUGAAUACUUAAGCCUGUUCACAUCCAUAUUCUACUACAGGUGGAGAAAAUCAGGCACAACUAGAGGAAAGAGGGAAAAAAGCAAAUUCUCAAUGACAGAACGUGAUAAAUACAAACAGCAGUCGAGCUGUGAAGUUAUAAAGUAUCGACCUUUGACACGGGACAUUCAAACCUAACUCCUUCUUCCUGUUAAACAGCUGCUUUUCUAAUCUGUCAUAGCAAACAGCUUGCCACAGCUUGCAUACAGGGAGGUAUGGAAAAGCUCAAGCAUGGAAGAGCAUGACCUUGCAUUUAUUUCUACAAAAAAACAAAAGCAGAGAAUUGUAAAGCAAGUGAUGUAAGAAAAAGAAAAUAACAAUCAUACAUUAUUUUUUCAGUCCAAAAAAGGGGGAAACUGAGGAAAAUCAACAUCUGCUAAGCAUGUGUCCCAUUACUAUAUAUCUACAGGCAGAGGACUCAUUUUCUAUCACAUCUUUAAAAGGAAAUCUCAGCUUUUUCCAAUGUGGUAAUAGCUUUUAAUUGCUUCUUACUGUCUGCAACAUCAAACAUCAAAAACUAAGUUUUUGGUAUGACCGAGCACUUAACAAACCAGGCGCGUUCCUCUAGUUUUUCAUUGAUUCAAGACCAUACAAUAAACUGAGUUAUCAAGAAAGUAACUGGCAGAUUUAGAGGCAAUAUUAAGCAUUGUUACUUCCUGCCCUCAUAUAAUAUAUGGCGCUCAAAGCCUCAAAGCUGAAAUUUUGCUUUAGAUGUUGGCAGGGGUGUGUCAAGACUUGUUUAACAGGGGUGGCCCAACUGGGGUACUGACUUAUGCAUGGAACGGAAUGAAGUUCUGUAAGUGUAAACUCAAACAUACACACAAAAAUAAAUACAAAUUGACCCUUUCUGUCUCCGCCAAUCAUUUCUACUUAAAGUACUAACACUGAUAUGUCAUACAGAUGUUGAAAUUCUCUGCACAUUUUUAUACUCAACAAUAUUUGUAUUAGUAUUUUAUACAGCCUAAUACAGUACAGUGAGCUCUUCGAAAGAGCGAAAGAUAUAGAAAAGAAAAACAGGAACCCCCUCCCUCGUUCCAUCAAAUCCCUCACUACUGCUGGAUAUUCAUGUCACUGUGUUUAAAUAUCAUCUUCUGGAGUUACUGGACAAAUAAGAGUUAAAAAAUAGUUUAAAAAAUAUGCAGAGAAAUUCUCUGCAUAUUUUUUUAACUAUAAAACUUUUAAACAGGAUGACAAUGUAUAAAUAUUUUAAAUUAAAUGUUUUAGGAAUUUAAAAAAAGGUUUGUUGGUUUGAAAUAAUACUUCAAAGUUCAUAAAAAAUUGCAAGCAAACUUCACACAAAACAUCAAAACUAUAUUAAUUGGAAAUGUUGCAGUACAGACUGUUUGUUUGCAGUCUCUUUUAAGCUUGUUUUAUGAAAUAUAUUUGUAAAGUACUUUAUGCAAUUUGAAGCACCUUACAAAAGACAAUGUGCUACAUUUAAAUGGAAAGAAAGCUACCUACUAUGCAGUUAUAGUUGAUUUUAACACAAGUCUCAUCUCUGAAGAGAGAAAUAAUCAAAGUCUAGGAUUUUGAGCUGACCAGAUUUUAAGGGGGCCCAUGAUGCCCCUCUGGACACGCCCCUGAAUGUUGGCACAGUUUAGUGUUUCUUGAAGAAUAACUUCUAACAUACUGGGAUUUCCUCACAUCUGUUGACCAGUAGUCCUGCUAACAUCUAAAGACACAGAUUAGAUGUGUAGCUUAGGAGCAUGGAAAGUACAGUACAUGCACGCCGAUACAACAAUAGGGGUACAGGCUAAAUCUGUAACCCUCUGCAGUGCUGUUAAAAUAUCCCCCACUCAUAUAUGUUGAAGUGUCAAUGAAGAACAAUUAACUCUCUGCUUCCCCAGCACCCAAUCUAUCACUGUCCAACCCAUGAGAGGGGAAAAAAGCUUUUUCACUUGGAUGUCAAGUCCCGCAAACUCCAUUUCACUCCAUCAACUCGAUAGCACUGACAGGCCCGAACAGGCACCGGCCCCUUCAAGUCUGACGUCCCACAUGAGGGAAAAAAAUACACUUGAGCAGAGUCUAAGAAGCGACUCCUAGAGGCUUAAAACCACUUUAUAUUACUUGACCGACAAGUUGAGGGAAAGCAGGCGCUCUCCACCUGAGUCAAAGUGAGGCCACGUUCACCGUCAUUAGAUGAAACCAACCUAAAUGCUUCCAGACUUUCACGCCCUGUCACCUCUCAUUUCAUCUCACGGCAUCUGCAACCACCUUAGAUCAGCGUGAUAAUAACAUCUACUAUUUUACAGGCUCCUCUAUUAUUUUCUUCCAAUAACUCUUCAACAAUGUCGUUGGGCGUCAACAAAAAUCCAUCUGGGGGAUUGACCUGUUACCUCAAAAUCUGCCUCUAACUUGGACAGAUUAAAAGAUUCAACAUUUUCAAGCUCUUGUACAAUCCUCAGAUGAUUUGGCCUCAUUGACGUUACACCAUGAAACAGGAAGUUCUAUUUUGAGGGAUUCAGGAUAGCAAAAAAGUUGCCAAACUUGGUGCAUGUGUCCCAAGUGGGGUUCUUAGAACUUUAAUAUGGGUUUGGGUUUCAAGAAAAAUGGUGUCAAAUGUGAAAGCUUCCUGAAGGCAGACCAUAAACCCAUCAGAAUGUCAGCCAUAUUGGAUUUUUGGUAAGGAUCAGUGCAGUUUUAGCCAUUCCUGUUGGUUAUAAUUUACCAAAUGUCAUCUUAGUUGUUUAUCCAACCCCCUAAGACUUAGCUUGUUUAAAGAAAAGUGAUUCAACUGCUUCCUAAGAUAGAUUGCAUUUUGAGGAUGUUUUUCAUUUGCUAUUAAAGACAAUCUGCAUUACAGUGUGCAUAUGUUGAGCCUAUGUUCAUGUUGUCCAACUCCUUGCCCUGAAAGAGAUUUCCAUUGCCAAUGUGAAAGGCGUGCUCUGAUCCAAACAUUUUGAAUCUUCAGAUAACAUCUCACAGCAUCUGGUUUUCUGCUUUCCAGGUCUUAAUGCUUUGCCAAACUCUGUGGGCCACAGUGCUUGACUUUUAACCAGCAAAUCAUCAACUCAACUAUUUUGCUCUUUUCUCAAAGGCCAAAAUGAAACAUUAUCUCCUGACUCAGAUUUAAAUCAAAGCCGUGACAAGGACCAUGCUUGUGAGGACCAGCGUGGGGGAAGGGGGAGGGGACCUUCCAGCCGUCGCGUCGAUUGCUAACACUCGACUCGCAUAUGGGCAGGAUCAGGAAACACAAGCCCAGUGAUGUCACGACCGAAUGACCUCAGGGUGACAGGUUUGGAGAAUGUUCUUGCCCAGUGCCCUCAGGCCAAAGUCAAGUAUGUCAAUGUGUGCAUGUGGAUUUCAUUUGAAGUUGCAUGAUUAGUUCACAGACGCUCAACUGAGAUCCCCUCCAUGGGAAACCCUCUCUCCACAGGAAACGGUAUGUUUUUGUUAGCAAAAAAACAGACAUAAAUUACUAAAAUGGUGCUUUGGUUGCCAAUUUAUCACACACAGCCUCAUUGUUGCUGCUUGUUCACAUUUGACAUCAACAUUGCUUUUCAGGAAACCAUCAUUAGUUAAUGAUAUUUACAUUCCUGUUAGUUUGUGUUGAACUGUGUGUCUGCAAAGCUGAAUUUGUGCAAUAAAACUAAUAAUUGUUUUGUGUCUUCUCUUUAAUACAUAUGAAAAUGUGUUUAUUUAAAUGAAGGAAAAACAGAUGCUGUUAAUGUUUAAGGGCAAAUUAAGUGUUGAUUUUAUUUAAUUUUGAAAAGUCUUGCUGGUAUUGACUCCUCCUGAACAAAUGUAAAUCAGAAAAAUUAACAUCGGUCAAUUUGAAAGUAUAGCCUAGUAAAUAAAUAGAUUACAGUGUAAGAAGGACUUCAGUUAAAAAGUCUUUCCUCUGAAAGGUGAGAAAUCUAAAUAUUGAAUAAAUGACGGUGGUAAAAUCGAUGGAUUGAUUUUAACAAGAUUUUCAAACAGGGAUUAAACAGUAUUCAACAUAUAGGGGUGUAUGAGGGGAAAUGUGGAGCACAUACUUUCCUGAGAGUGUAUUUGACAUGACUCAAAAAAUAAAUGACAGAAACACAUGUAUUUCAUCCACGACUUAACAUUUCUGACUGAUGUGUUUGAUACUGCUGGGGCAACACAUACUAAAUAUUAUUUCUAAGUGUAUAAAUAUACAUUUUUGGGACACUACAGACUGAGAGGCCACUUCUUGAGGUAAGACACUUUGAGGAAUAGAAACUAUUUUGACAAUGUUUACAUAAUACAAGAACCCACAGGCAUAUUUUAACCCACUCUGGAUCUAACAGAACACCCAACUCCUUAAAACUGUCAUUACAUGAGAACAGAAUUUACUGAUGGGUUGUAGGAACUGGUUAACAAUAUUGAAAAUGGUAUUAGGGCCAAUGACAUAAUGGGAGUCAUUAUGAUUUGAGGGUAGUUGCAUAUGGGGUUUUAUCUUGUGGUCUAAGUAGAUACAUUGAGAGCAGCAUUUGUAGAUGCUCACGUGCAGCACAGUAGUUUAUAGAGAGAUAAAUUUGAUGGAUGCCAAGCUGCAGUUAGCUAAUUAAAGGUUUUCUAUCAUCUAUCUUGAGUUGAAUCCUGUGUGAAACUGCUUUCUAAAAUUACUUUAUUCGAAGACACUACUUAACAUCAAUGCUUUAUAAAUUAUUUAUGUGUUUUCCUUCAGAAAAAGAAAGAAGGGGAAUAUCAAAGCAGCCGUUCUCUCUAAAUAUUGGCCUUGCAGGGUAAGAUUUUGGAUCUCCGAAACUACACAACCCUUUCCAGCAUGAAUUAAAACCAAUUAUUGUUGCAGUAAAAGUAAUACUCAAGCAGUCUCCUGCCAAACACUUUACAGUGCGCUCCAUUAAUGCAAUGGUAAACAGAUGUGCCACCCAGCGCUUGAGUUUGAUUUGGACUGUGAAUGUUUUCUCCAGGGAUAUCACAAAAUAAAUGUUUAAACUGCCUGCAGGGUUUUUACACUUCACUAUACUGAAGUAUGUGAGUCUUACAGUUACUACAGCAGGCUCUCAAAGAUGUGAAUUACUAUAAGGAUUACUGAAGAAGGCAGUUUAACAGAGUCCACUGAGAGUCAAAUAUGUAAACACAACAGAAUGACCCACGUGUAAAGUCUUUUUAUGGGCUAUCUACUCUCACCACACACCAUAUACUGCAUACAUAUACUGCAUGUGAAUUCUAUUUUAAUGCACUCGAGGCUGAUGUAUAAGAAGAAACAAUGUGCGUGUCUAAAUGUUCUCCUGUUAAUACAAUAAAGUUUAUAUUUCAUGUUUCACUA